UACAGAGGUGGCAAGCGUUGUCCGGAAUUAUUGGGCGUAAAGGGCUCGUAGGCGGUUUGUCGCGUCGGGAGUGAAAUCCACUGGCUUAACUGGUGGCUUGCUUUCGAUACGGGCAGACUGGAGGUAUGCAGGGGAGAACGGAAUUCCUGGUGUAGCGGUGAAAUGCGCAGAUAUCAGGAGGAACACCGGUGGCGAAGGCGGUUCUCUGGGCAUGUCCUGACGCUGAGGAGCGAAAGUGUGGGGAGCGAACAGG
rnacentral:rRNA from 1 species